CAUUUAUUGUCUUACCGAUGUAUCCUACCCCGCACUUGUGUACAACGCGCUGUGUGCAACGUGAUCUACUCUUCAUCAUAGCUUGCCUUCUCGCUGUUGUCCACUACUCUCAAUGGACUCAAUUUAAUUAUCUGACUCACAGGAUUGAAGUAAAAAUGUUUCUGCUUGCAACAUUUGAUACUGUAAAAGGCAACAACAUUAUCGUUUUAAUCUCCUUUUAUUAAGAUGUUUCAGCACGAGUAAAGAUUCAGAGGAACAAAGCAAGGAUUCUAUUUUCGUCUGGAGCCCAAUAUCGGGAAAAAACCCACAAUAAAAGAGAAUGCAGAAGUAAAAAUUUCAAGCGAAAUUGAGUAACUUUGUACGAAAUUAUGAAAAGUUUUUUCACAAUAAAAAAAUCAGCUACA